GCCGUCUUAACUCAUCUGGUAGAAUGUGUGACUUUUAACCAUGUGAUUGUGAGUUUUAUUCCCAUAGAGGGCA
rnacentral:tRNA from 1 species